CUUUCCAAUUUAGGGUUUGCCACUUUACAAAUUUAGGGCAGCGCCGCUCUUCUCUCUCGCCGUUCUUCUCUCUCGAUCUCUCCGUCUCUGAACUCAUCGCCGCUCUUGUCUCUCUCGGUCUCUCCAUCUCUGACUCACGAUUUGCUCGAUUUGCUCGUCAUCGCUCUUCGUUGCACCGCUGCUCACCACCGCUUCGCCUGUGUUCGUCGAUUUCGGUAUAUUACUUCUUCAUUCCUUUUUGUUUUCCGUUUCUAGUGUAUUCUGCUGUAAUCUAUUGCUUGCUUCUUCAUUCCUUUUUCGUAUUCUGUUUUUUUAGUAUAUUGCUUCUUCAUUAAAAAUGUAUGCCCUGCUGUUAAAGUCCAAUCUGUUAAAGUCCAAUCUGUUGCUUUCCAAUUUUUUGAAUGGCGAUGAGGAAACUCAAACUGGAAGCUCUACAGCUUCCACAUCCACAUCCACAUCCACCACUUUUGCUUGAAAGCUUCAUAGAGCCUCCACAUACUGGUUGCUGGUUGCUACUUGUUGCUUGCUACAAUGAUCAAGAAUUUUGGAAAAGAAUGAUGUAUGUUGCUGCAAUAGCCAAGAAAAUUUGGAACAAAGAAUGAUGUUUUGGAUUUUUCUAUUUGUUGUACGUUUAAUUUGUUGAACUAUUUUUGUUUGCUAAAUCAGAUUGUGACAUUGAUUUUAA